rnacentral:sRNA from 2 species
GGAAGCUGAUUGAUGGGAUGUCCGUACGGGGAUAUUCGUGCCUCCUUCAUGUGUAUAGCUGUAAUCAUCGUCGGAGUCCAGAUGGACGACGCCGUGUUCGUCUUCGUAGCCUGGUGGGCGUGAGGGCCGUGAGGGCCGUGACGACGGAGGAGGAGGAGGAGCAAGGGGAGGAGAACGAGAAACGGGGAAUUGAGGCUGCGGAGGAGUGGAUUCCGGUUGGAUAUCAGCACCUCCAUUCUCGAAGUACAGCUGCAUAGCCGUUUCGAGGUUGCCGUCGGUCAGCUGCAGAUACCGGGCAGCAACCUCUGGGGAGGAACCCGUGAUCUCGGUGAACCCUGCCACCGCAGCAUCCGCCAUGGCUGAGGGGGAUGUCGGAUUUAUCUGGAUCUAUGCGAUCUGGGCGUAUUUUAAGAGGAGUUGUGGGGCGGAUAUGAGGGGAAUAGGGGAGGAUAGAAUGUACGAGGUAGGUGGAGGAAGGAGAAGCAACGAGUUAAGAGCAGGCUGCCUGUUUAUGGGGAGGGGCAUUCAAGGCCCAGGGAAGCAGCACGGAGGAACACAGCAAGAGUAGAUGCAGCAAAAUUCAGCAGACAAAGGUUCAUAAAAGAUAGAAAAUCGGGAGAAUCAAGGCAUUGCUGUCUAGUGCGAAGCUUCUAGGGUCUACGGCAGUUGGCAGGAAUAAAAAAGGGGGACUGGGAGCUGGUGUGAAGAAAUGAAGUUUCACGCAUCCGCAAAGAUUUGUCUGGUUCUCAGGCAGAUGAGCAGUGACGCUAUUGUGGAUGAAUCAGCAGAGGGGACCGGCAUCCGGAUCAUCAUUAUUCCUUCCGCCCGGGUAAACUUGCAGCAGUUGAAUAGUGCAUACGGG